AUGGCAUGUGGAGCUGGAGCUCCGUGGCUCAGCUGUUUCUUUUCGAGCUGUCACUGGAAAAUUACAGAGGCUGACAAUCAUAUUCUGAGCUCAGCUGUGCUGAGCAGUGCACAUCCAGCACAGCACCAGGCACUGCCAUGGAUGCAGCCCUCCAAACCCAAAGGCUCGCUGCACUGGGUCACCUGCAUCGCACUCAGGUCUCGUUGGCUUUGUAACAAGGCACAGAACGACCUGAUGAUGGGAAGGAUGUACAGAUGCUUCUCAGUUGGGCACUGUGUGGCUCUGAGUGCUCACCUCGCACUGCUGGCUCUGCCCCCAGCUCAUUGUAAUCAUGCUUUAUAUGGAGCUGAUGCUAUUACUGUUGGGAGCUUUGGCCUGAUGAAUCCCAGAGUGCAGGAGCAAAGGCAGUACGGAGAUGUCAAUCCGUACCUCACCUCUUUCUGGUCCCAUCCACCCGAGAACCCAUCUGGUGCACGAGCAGGAGAACCUUCAGUGUUAAUUGCCCCUCUGCAAGUGUGGAGCCAUCACCUCUCGUCCUAUCAACACCGCCGCCUUCUCUAA
rnacentral:lncRNA from 1 species